UACGGGGGGGGCAAGCGUUGUUCGGAAUUACUGGGCGUAAAGGGCGCGUAGGCGGUUCGCUAAGUCGGAUGUGAAAACUCUGGGCUCAACCCAGAGCCUGCAUCCGAAACUGGCGGGCUAGAGUUCUGGAGGGGGUAGCGGAAUUCCCGGUGUAGCGGUGAAAUGCGCAGAUAUCAGGAGGAACACCGGUGGCGAAGGCGGUGGUCUGGGCCGGCACUGACGCUGAGGAGCGAAAGCGUGGGGAGCGAACAGG
rnacentral:rRNA from 1 species